rnacentral:rRNA from 1 species
AACUUUCAACAACGGAUCUCUUGGCUCUCGCAUCGAUGAAGAACGCAGCGAAAUGCGAUAAGUAAUGUGAAUUGCAGAAUUCAGUGAAUCAUCGAAUCUUUGAACGCACCUUGCGCCCCUUGGUAUUCCGAGAGGCAUGCCUGUUUGAGUGUC